rnacentral:rRNA from 1 species
UCGAGAAUCUUCCGCAAUGGACGAAAGUCUGACGGAGCGACGCCGCGUGAUUGAUGAAGCACUUCGGUGCGUAAAGAUCUUUUAUGAGGGAAGAAGUUUAUUGACGGUACCUCAUGAAUAAGGGGCUCCUAAUCUCGUGCCAGCAGGAGCGGUAAUACGAGAGCCCCGAGCGUUAUCCGGAAUUAUUGGGCGUAAAGAGUGCGUAGGUGGUUGUGUUAGUCGUUUGUCAAAUCCUCGGGCUUAACUCGAGAACCGCGAACGAAACGGCACAGCUAGAGAAUGUGGGGGGUAUAGGGAACUCAUGGUGUAGGGGUAAAAUCCGUUGAUAUCAUGGGGAACACCAAAAGCGAAGGCACUAUACUAACACAUAUCUGACACUCAAGCACGAAAGCGUGGGUAG